rnacentral:rRNA from 1 species
GUGAACCGGGAAGAGCUCAAAUUUUGAAUCUGGCGGUCUUUUCGGCCGUCCGAGUUGUAAUCUAGAGAAGCGUCUUCCGCGCUGGACCGUGUAUAAGUUUCCUGGAAUGGAACGUCGUAGAGGGUGAGAAUCCCGUCUUUGACACGGACUACCAGGGCUAUGUGAUGCGCUCUCGACGAGUCGAGUUGUUUGGGAAUGCAGCUCAAAUAGGGUGGUAAAUUCCAUCUAAAGCUAAAUACAGGCGAGAGACCGAUAGCGAACAAGUACCGUGAGGGAAAGAUGAAAAGAACUUUGGAAAGAGAGUUAAACAGUACGUGAAAUUGCUGAAAGGGAAACGCUUGAUGUCAGUCGCGUCGGCCGGGGAUCAGCCUUGCUCUUUUGCUCGGUGUACUUCCUGGUCGACGGGUCAGCAUCAGUUUCGACCGUCGGAAAAUGGCUCGAGGAAUGUGGCACUCUUCGGGGUGUGUUAUAGACUCGGGUCGAAUACGAUGAUCGGGACUGAGGAACUCAGUACGACCUUCGGGUUCGGGGCUUCGGCUCACGUUAACGUGCUUAGGAUGCUGGCAUAAUGGCCUUAAGCGACCCGUCUUGAAACACGGACCAAGGAGUCUAACUCGCAUGCGAGUGUUUGGGCGAUUAAAACCCGAGCGCGUAAUGAAAGUGAAAGUCGAGACCUCUGUCG